rnacentral:rRNA from 1 species
AAUGGGCGCAAGCCUGAUGCAGCAACGCCGCGUGAAGGAUGAAGGUCUUCGGAUCGUAAACUUCUAUCAGCAGGGAAGAAACCAUGACGGUACCUGACUAAGAAGCUCCGGCUAACUACGUGCCAGCAGCCGCGGUAAUACGUAGGGGGCAAGCGUUAUCCGGAAUUACUGGGUGUAAAGGGUGCGUAGGCGGCGAUUUAAGUCAGAUGUGAAAACUCAGGGCUCAACCUUGAGACNGCAUCUGAAUCUGAGUUGCUAGAGUGCAGGAGAGGAAAGCGGAAUUCCGAGUGUAGCGGUGAAAUGCGUAGAGAUUCGGAGGAACACCAGUAGCGAAGGCGGCUUUCUGGACUGUAACUGACGCUGAGGCACGAAAGCGUGGGGAGCGAA